AGCAUAGCGAUUUGGGAUAAGUCCCUUGGAAGAGGGCAGCAUGGAGGGUGAUACUCCCGUCUCUGCUCAGGUUGUCUGUGUGCACGAUACGCUUUCUUUGAGUCGAGUUGUUUGGGAAUACAGCUCAAAGUAGGUGGUAAAUUCCAUCUAAAGCUAAAUAUUGGUGCGAGACCGAUAGCGAACAAGUACCGUGAGGGAAAGAUGAAAAGAACUUUGAAAAGAGAGUUAAAGAGUACCUGAAACUGUUGAAAGGGGACCGUAUCGUUUCCAGUGUUUUAUCCUGUGCAUAUUUCAUUAGCGGAGCAGUUUGCUGGUGCCCUGUGCAUGGGUGUGACGUCAGAGUCAGUUUGUAUGCUGCGGGAGAUGGUCAGUGAGGAGGUGCGUCACUUCGGUGAAAGUUAUAUCUCGCUGACUAGUAGCCGUGGUUGAGACUGAGGUGCC
rnacentral:rRNA from 2 species